UACGUAGGGGGCCAGCGUUGUUCGGAAUUACUGGGUGUAAAGGGUUCGUAGGCGGUGUGGCAAGUUGGGAGUGAAAUCUCUGGGCUCAACCCAGAGACGGCUUCCAAAACUGCCGUGCUUGAGUGUGGGAGAGGCUCGUGGAAUUGCAGGUGUAGCGGUGAAAUGCGUAGAUAUCUGCAGGAACACCCGUGGCGAAAGCGGCGAGCUGGACCACUACUGACGCUGAAGAACGAAAGCUAGGGGAGCAAGCAGG
rnacentral:rRNA from 1 species